rnacentral:lncRNA from 1 species
CAAGGAACCCCGACUUUCGAGUUGCAGUGCAACUUUGGAACUAAAAAAUGGCUGCCGUUACCAUGGAAACAGAACAAUUGUGAAAAAAAACAGUUUUUGGUUUUAAUGAAUUAUUUGGAUAUGCUUAAACUCAGAAUCAUUAUAUUUUGAUACAAUGUAGGUGCCCACUAUAUACUGGUUUUGGAGGAUUUUGGCAAUCAUUGGAACUACUAUGUUGCCAUGGAAACUACACCAAAAAUUUCAAAAAUAUCAGAAUGCUCCAAAUUUAACGAUACUUUACAGUAACGAUGAGCAACAUUGGUAGAUGUGGAAUUUGGCGUUAGAAUUUCAAAAAUGUCUGCCGUUACCAUGGAAACAAUGCAAAACAGGUCAAAAUGGUUCAAAAACCUUAAAGUGGCAUUUACUUUCUUAAAAUGGUAGGUCAAAUUGAUCGAAACUUUGAUGGUAUGGUC